GGUUUCUAGUGGCGGACGGGUGAGUAACGCGUGGGUAACCUGCCUUAUACAGGGGGAUAACAACCAGAAAUGGUUGCUAAUACCGCAUAAGCGCACAGGACCGCAUGGUCCGGUGUGAAAAACUCCGGUGGUAUAAGAUGGACCCGCGUUGGAUUAGCUAGUUGGCGGGGUAACGGCCUACCAAGGCGACGAUCCAUAGCCGGCCUGAGAGGGUGAACGGCCACAUUGGGACUGAGACACGGCCCAGACUCCUACGGGAGGCAGCAUG
rnacentral:rRNA from 1 species